rnacentral:rRNA from 1 species
AUGGAUGCUCUCAUUGACUGGGAUUUCUCGUAUGGCCAAAAGGUGGUGGAUCAGGUGCGUCGUCGGUUUCAUUCUUCGGUCCAUUUUGAUGGAUCCUUCUCCUCUUCGGAGUUCUUUCUGGUGGCUCUUUUCCAUUCGAGUUCUUUUCGUUUGGAUGUGGAUUUUGUCUCCAUGGCGCUCUGUUCCUGCUUGGGGGGCAAUCUCAAGAGGUUCAACGUGUGCAUGCUCUCGGAUAAUCUUUUCCGUUUCUCGGUAGCCUCCAACCGAGUGGGUCAUUUCAUUUGUGCGUUGAAGGGUUGUCGCAUGCCAGCUUUCCAUUGUUCUUUCAAUCUCUUUCAUGACAAGCCUAUCAAUUUGCGGAGGGAUCCCAAGGUUGAUUCUGGGUGGUUGGUUCGUUCCAGUCGGAAGCGCACACAUCAACGCUAUCUUCAUAAUAUUCCGUAG